AACCUUCUCUUUAUUUCUCGCCGAUUGAAUAGCUUUAUAAGCAAGGUUUGUUGUUCUACGAACACACAACGCUUGAGCCAUCCUUUGCAGACCUCACCGAAUCGACUCGAACUUCACGAAAGGUUGAAUCGUUCCAUCUUUCAAGAUCUCAAUUAUUUGCGAGCGCCAACGAUGGUUUCCAAGGUACUGAUGACGUCACUGCUGGUUGCAAUGGUAGUAGUCUUUGUGUGCACGCGUGUAUCAGAGGGCCGGUUGGCGAUGUGUAGCGGCUCCAAUAGGAGGAUGGCCGCCUGCUUGCCAAAAAGAUCAGUCUUCCCUAUAAGAGAAGAUGAGAACCUUGCUGACAACCUAGCAAUCGAUGGCGAGGGCGAUGCCAUUGCGCGUGCGCUGUUUUCAGGCGAAGUGGGCGACUCAAAGAAACGACGACUGUUGGCUUACUAAAAACAGCUAUCUGACAACUUAACGGAUUGAUUACAGUGAUAUCUAGAUGUAAGAGAUUACCCAGACAAAGAUCAUUUAACAUCUUAAAGUCUUUCUUCCUGAUCAUUAAAUGGUAUAAUCAAU